GGGAAACGCUCCAACUUUACAAACUCAUCAACUGAUUUGGACCAGAGCCAACAAACUAUACGCCCUGAGCGU